CUGGAGAAUCUGCUUAAUAAGAGCAUGAGGAUCCGUAUGACGGAUGGACGCACACUGGUGGGCCUGUUUCUCUGCACUGACCGUGACUGCAACGUCAUCCUGGGAUCUGCUCAGGAGUUCCUCAAAUCCACAGGAACCGGAUUGGGCCAACCAGCAAAAUAAACAGGAGUACAAAAUGUGUACGGUGUGGAAGUACCUCAAAAAGAACAAAAACCACAGUACAGGCAGUCCCCAGGUUAUGAACAAGAUUUGUUCCCUAAGUUUGUCUUUAAGUUGAAUUUGUAGGUAAGUCAGAAAAAUAAUACAUUACAUAAUUAUUAUACAGUAAUAAAUGUAACAUACAGUACUGUACCUUGAGCUGAUGAACAGCUGAAGCCGUGCAGUGUUUCCAUAGCAUCGUAAAGUAGUGCAUGCGUUCGUUAUUACGAACCAUUGUAUUUAAGCCAAAUUUUUUAUGUGGUAGGCAUUUUGGCAGUCCGUUCGUGAGUAUGAGCUGUCCAUAAGUCAGAUGUUUUUAACCCAGGGACCUGCUGGUAUAGCAGACUGCAAACUGCACGAGAUUCGUUCUCCCAGGGUGAGCCUCGAGUUCUGGGUCUGGCCAUGAUCCCCGGCCACCAUGUAGUCUCCAUCGAGGUGGAGGCAGAGAGCCUGCUCACCGCCUAGGAUGCUACCCAGUAAGGGGGGAGAGAGAGACUGAGAACGCACCAGGCAACACGGCGGCUCCUGCCAUGGUCUGUCCUCCAGGACCCUCUGAGACCACACAUCCACAAAGCCACAGCCACCUUCACACAGGCUUUGCUGGGGACCUUGUAUCACAUACGACCUCCAGUACAGACUCGGUCAAAAACCUGCAUACGGUGCCCAGUUUACCAGAAUGGCAAUCAUGGGCUCACUCAUCUUCCUGGGUGCUGGAUGUCUGAAAGACCCUCAGGUACUAGAAGUCCUGUCCUACCAAACCCCCUUGUUCAUCAUCCACUAUAACCCCCCCCCCCGCAAAAGAGAGAGAGAUGUCGAUGCUUUAUGGAAAUGGCAGUUGGCGUUCAUCGUGAUAUGGAGUAAGCAUGGAUCAAAUCGCACCACGUUCGACAAGGGAUUACACUGGAACGCCAAAGAUGACCAAUGGCCUCAAAACAGAUUGUUCCUUUAUGCAGGAGACAAAGAUGUCGACAUUGCCUGUCUCAGACAAGAACUUGGCAAGGAGAGGCCACAGAAACCUCUUAAAACGCAGACAGGCACAUUAUCACCCCCGGGAAAGAUGCCAAAAAGAACUGAUUGUUUUGAAAUGUGACUGGAGAAUUUCAUAAUAAACUAACUUUCAUCCCGA